GCCGGAAAAUCGCUAUUAGAUGAGCCUAUGUUAGAUUAGCUAGUUGGUAGGGUAAAGGCCUACCAAGGCGAUGAUCUAUAGCUGGUCUGAGAGGAUGAUCAGCCACACUGGAACUGAGAUACGGUCCAGACUCCUACGGGAGGCAGCAGUGGGGAAUAUUGGACAAUGGGCGCAAGCCUGAUCCAGCUAUGCCGCGUGAGUGAGGAAGGCCCUAGGGUUGUAAAACUCUUUCAGUAGGGAAGAUAAUGACGGUACCUAUA
rnacentral:rRNA from 1 species